ensembl:lncRNA
AAGCUGGUUCCCGCUGGGGCUUCUUGAGGUUUCUCGGCAGGCUUCUCCAUUUCCAAACCCACGUUGCUGAGGCUGGGAGGAGACAGGACGCAGACAGGGAGGCAGCUGGGAGGUGCGUCCAGCUGCUCCUUCUGCCAGGGGUGGGAACCUAGAAGCAUGUUUUGUCAUCAUGACUAUCAUGACUGGAUCAAGCCUGGGAUACCGAGUGUCCAGAGACUCUAGGCAUCUGGCAGCUUCAACAAGGCCCUUGGCCUCCACCCAGAAGAGAAAGCAGCCUCUCAGCCCAGCGAGGAGCAUGCUGGUGCCUCAACACACAGUUGCCACUCGCUUUGCUUCUCUUGGGGUGGAUUGGAUAGCUCUGGUCUUUCUGCUUUCCUGACUGCUUUGGCAGCAGGAGGUUAAAGCACCUUUGGCUUAUCUUCUGGGAAAAGAUCCCUGAGCACUGGAGAGCCUGCUGCUGCCUUCUGGCAACUUCCAGCAGCCAGCACCGGGUCUGCUACAAGACGGGUGCUCAGCCUCAGCUCACAGUGAUACCACAUGUCCUGGCUCCUUCAUCAGCCCCAGAUUUCAGGUUCUAUCCCACCCCUCCUGUCUCUAGGGGCCCUCCUUCUUCAGCCCAACAAGUAAAUCUAUAACUGGGAGAUGGCUGAAAUAUUUCCUCUUCUAAGCAGGCUUCCAGGAUUAUGAGAAGAGUAAAUAAC